AGUGAACGCUGGCGGUAGGCCUAACACAUGCAAGUCGAACGGCAGCACAGUAAGAGCUUGCUCUUACGGGUGGCGAGUGGCGGACGGGUGAGGAAUACAUCGGAAUCUACUUUUUCGUGGGGGAUAACGUAGGGAAACUUACGCUAAUACCGCAUACGACCUACGGGUGAAAGCAGGGGAUCUUCGGACCUUGCGCGAUUGAACGAGCAGAUGUCGGAUUAGCUAGUUGGCGGGGUAAAGGCCCACCAAGGCGACGAUCCGUAGCUGGUCUGAGAGGAUGAUCAGCCACACUGGAACUGAGACACGGUCCAGACUCCUACAGGAGGCAGCAGUGGGGAAUAUUGGACAAUGGGCGCAAGCCUGAUCCAGCCAUACCGCGUGGGUGAAGAAGGCCUUCGGGUUGUAAAGCCCUUUUGUCGGGAAAGAAAAGCAGCAGGUUAAUACCCCGCUGUUCUGACGGUACCCAAAGAAUAAGCACCGGCUAACUUCGUG
rnacentral:rRNA from 1 species